UGACACAGGGAGGUAGUGACAAGAAAUAACAAUACGGGGCUCAACGCCUUGUAAUUGGAAUGAUGGGAACCUAAACCCCUUCCAGAGUAUCAAUUGGAGGGCAAGUCUGGUGCCAGCAGCCGCGGUAAUUCCAGCUCCAAUAGCGUAUAUUAAAAUUGUUGCAGUUAAAAAGCUCGUAGUUGAAUUUCUGCCGCAUCGCGGCGGCCCUCCCGGGCCCAGCGUUGCGGCUUAUUUCGGACUCGCUUGCGUCUCCGAAUGUU
rnacentral:rRNA from 1 species